UAAGCGACUUUGAUUACUCUGAAACACCGCCCUCUGACGGAGAUCGCUGGAGUUUUAAUCUGCCGCCGAGUUCGCUCCAGUCCACAGCAAGAUACACUAAGUUGCGGUGCCGACGAGCGUACCGGACAAAAACGCGUUCGCGAGAGUGUCAAAUUUGUGCGUGUUUUUCGAUUAUUGUUAAUCCAGUAAAACAGUGUGGGUUUGCAAUACUUUGCUGUAUUGCAUCUUUAAGGCGCUGGUAAUGGCUGAGUCAACGUUAUGUUCACACGAGGAAUUAACGCUAUCUUCCAAAUGAAACUGUCGAACCCGUUAUGAAGUUAGUUUACGCUAAAUAUUUCUAGCGUUCUCAAAACACACAGUUCUCCGUGUAUGAGGUACUUGUUCGUUAAACCUAAUCUCAACCAGGUAUGCAUAUAUACUGAAAGGCAGAUGCUUUACAAUUGGCGGAGUAAAUCGGUUGUCAAGGUGACGACAAAAAAAAAAAAACGUGAGAAGGAAACUAUGUGUUGAAGAGCGAUUACAAAAAUCAUUAGCAAAUGAAAAUCUUUGGUUGCGAACAUUGUGCAUAUAUGUGAAAGGUGAUGCUCUACUUGAAGUCCAUGAUGAUGACGCCACGAUCGUAGCUUGGAUGAAUCGACGACACUCCCGAAUAAAAUUUUGUACAUUGCGUGGGUGGAGAUGUUGAAAUGCCUGGACGAAGCAACUAAAAGUCAUCACAAUACUGUAAUAUUUAUAAUCGCCCUGUCUUAUACAAGGCAUUUGAACGCUAUACGUUCCUAGCUUAUAUUAACAACAAACAGCACGCGCAAAGUUUAGAGUACUAUGUUGUUUUUUUUACAGUUUACUCAACAAGUUGUCCUGAUAAUAACACUUUACAACAAUGUCGCUGCCAUAUAA